UGUCGAGGUUUUCCUCAGUAGUUAACUGCAACCGAUUUUAAACCUCCUCGGCAGUUAACUGCCGAAGAACAU
rnacentral:pre_miRNA from 1 species